GAUGAACGCUGGCGGCGUGCCUAAUACAUGCAAGUCGAGCGAACAGACGAGGAGCUUGCUCCUCUGACGUUAGCGGCGGACGGGCGAGUAACACGUGGAUAACCUACCUAUAAGACUGGGAUAACUUCGGGAAACCGGAGCUAAUACCGGAUAAUAUAUUGAACCGCAUGGUUCAAUAGUGAAAGACGGUUUUGCUGUCACUUAUAGAUGGAUCCGCGCCGCAUUAGCUAGUUGGUAAGGUAGCGGCUUACCAAGGCAACGAUGCGUAGCCGACCUGAGAGGGUGAUCGGCCACACUGGAACUGAGACACGGUCCAGACUCCUACGGGAGGCAGCAGUAGGGAAUCUUCCGCAAUGGGCGAAAGCUUGACGGAGCAACGCCGCGUGAGUGAUGAAGGUCUUCGGAUCGUAAAACUCUGUUAUUAGGGAAGAACAAAUGUGUAAGUAACUAUGCACGUCUUGACGGUACCUAAUCAGAAAGCCACGGCUAACUACGUG
rnacentral:rRNA from 1 species